rnacentral:rRNA from 1 species
UACGGAGGGUGCGAGCGUUAAUCGGAAUUACUGGGCGUAAAGGGUGCGUAGGUGGUUGUAUAAGUUAUCUGUGAAAUCCCUGGGCUUAACCUAGGAAGGUCAGAUAAGACUGUAUGACUCGAGUAUGGGAGAGGGUAGUGGAAUUUCCAGUGUAGCGGUGAAAUGCGUAGAGAUCGGAAGGAACACCAGUGGCGAAGGCGGCUACCUGGCCCAAUACUGACACUGAGGCACGAAAGCGUGGGGAGCAAACAGG